AUUUCCUCCCUCACACAUGCUCCCUGCCUCACAUGUGAUGUCAUGAAAAUGGACGGAUGUGAUAGCGAAGGAACCAGAGGGAAUGAUACUACUGUAUCAGCAAUGGUGUUGAUACGUAGAAGAUACAAAAAUGAGGAAGAUACUAAAAGACACAUAGAUGAGUAACACAGAUGAGAAAUUCAUAUGCCCAUCAUGUCUUGGAUGAGAAACAGUAUGAAAACUUCAAUGAA